GCAAAACUUACUGUGCUUUGGUGGUAUAAAGUGUCGAAUUUUUGUUGGUGCCAUGUAAUGUAGAAGUUUUAAGGAUUGGAGAAGUCAAAUAUGCCUUGGUUGCAGACCAUGAUUAUUUUAUGGAUUUUUCUCACGAUUCACCCUCAUUUUCCUUUGAUGGAUGCCUGCCUUCUGGUUGGACGAUUCUGCUUCUUUCUGAAAUGAUCACUCUAAUCUCAGAAAAGAUAUAUCUGGAUCGGGAUAACUUCUUGAAAAUUUUCUACAUUCACUUCUCUGUGGGAAUAACCCGCUUCACUGUAGAAGCCUUUAUUAUGUCAGUAGAGGCUUUAAGCUUCAUGCCAACACUUUGCCAUCUUCAUGCUACCACCUUGCCAUGUCCCUCAGCCUUGGCCUCAGCUUGUCCAUGCCAGCCUGCAUGCCAGCUGAUGCCUUGCCCUUUGCCUGCACGCAUGCCCGCCUGGUGCCAUGCGCCUGCUUGUGCCAUAUGCAUGUGACUGUUGAACUGGAUUGAUGCUAUAUGCAUAGCAGUCUUGCCUCUGCAACAUAGAUUUCCUCUUUUUCUUCUCCUUGUAUGAGUUCUUGAAGUCUCUGAUAGUGUUGUCUUUCUGGAUCUUCAGCUAUUGUCGUGAGAAGACCUUUAUUAACAAAAUUAUACGUUUCAGGGAGCAUGCUGACUGAAGAAAUAAAGUCACUUUAGUGAGAUCAAUUACCCCCACCAUCAAUGCGCAGACUUAUGGAUGCUCUAUCUUGAGGUUCGCUUUGACAUGGUACCUCUGUGUGCUGGUAUAAGUAUCUUAUACAAUCUACUUUUGAUUUCCCCUUGCUCUUGCACGUGACAUGUAGAAACCAUUCCCACCUAAAUGAUGUAAGGGGCAAAGAGGUAUCAACUUUCUGGUGCUUCUGCUUUCGUAUAGUUCUUCUUGAACAUUUGUUCAGUUGGAAAAUUAACAAAGUGGUACGAAGAAUGCUGCAUUGCUACCUGAUGGUUUUGUUGCAUUACCUAAAAUACUUUGCUUCGGUUUCUCUUCCUAUGUAUUUUUGAGAUCAAGCUGAGCUUCAUGCAGCAUUAUUAAGGUGGAAUCUAAGACUUAAUUAUUCUACAGUGACAGAAUAAGUUGUGUUCAAAAUCUGUUCAGAGGCUUUACUAUUUAUUUAUUUAUUACAUAAAAAAGUUUUGUUCAGUAUCAUAGGAUGCUGCAUAUGUACGUUUAAGGUCAUCCUGUAUAGAUUUUCAUUGUCCUCAUUA